UUUACUCUAUCGGCCGUACAUAAACAAUGCAGUCCUAGUCGCAGGCAACUAUCUUAUUGUUCAUGUUUAUUUUUAUCACACCAGAUGUUUUAUGAUUAUUCCGUUUGUGCAUAU